AAAGGGUGUGUAGGCGGGUAUUUAAGUCAGUGGUGAAAUCUCCGGGCUCAACCCGGAAACUGCCAUUGAUACUAUAUAUCUUGAAUACUGUUGAGGUAGGCGGAAUAUAUCAUGUAGCGGUGAAAUGCAUAGAUAUGAUAUAGAACACCGAUUGCGAAGGCAGCUUACUAAACAGUUAUUGACGCUGAGGCACGAAAGCGUGGGGAUCAAACAGGAUUAGAUACCCGAGU
rnacentral:rRNA from 1 species